GGCCAUUACGGCCGCCGGUGCAUAUUCGUUUCCUUUCAAGAUCUGAAGCCGCACAUCGUACCAUGGCUGCAGUCUUUUGCGGGGUUCUGUACAGUUGCCAUCCAGCCAUUUUUGCACCCGUGUUAGAGAAGCCACCGAGUCUCUCUUGCGGCCGAUGAAAGAGAGACAUAGAGUUAUCUGCCGCUCCAAUUCCUAACCAAUGUUCCCCAGCACUGAUGGAC
rnacentral:misc_RNA from 1 species